UCCAAUAUGUUUGCAUUACUGGUUUAAAAAAUAUGAUAUGCUCAUCUUUUUAUUGGGUUGUGUGCAUGAUCAAGAGAAGCCGAGAGAGCAAUAAUUUCUUGCUUUUCGGAAGAAAAACUGCAAGCAAGAGCAAUGACGAACAAUUUCUCAAAUACUUCCCAUGGAGCCUUUCAUUACAUUAAUUCUGCAGAGUUCAUAAUUGACACAAACAGUUUAUUUAGGUAUUGGCUUUAGUUUUUCUGAUGGCUAAGGACAGAUCAUGCAGUUAUCUCCUCUUAUGACUACUUCUGCUGCCUUCUAAAAAUCUGAAUGACGAGCCAAUCUGCCACGGAGAGGAAAUCUACUGUCCAUGUUCACAUGAAAGGGCAGCCCAUACAGCAGCAGAACAGCAGCUGCUGCUCCGCAUAGGCUCAGCAAGACUCCAUUCCCAUGUGUUAUGAUAUUGUUGAGUGGACAUGAUUUUGUUGUGUUACUGUUUACCAUGGAGUACAUAUUUAAUACCUGCCAAUGUAUUAGGUGCAUUUGAUGGAUCUUAGGUAACGAAA
rnacentral:rRNA from 1 species